UGUGGAGGAGCAGCAGCUUUACUUUGAGUUUCUCCCGGAUGGCAGAGCUUCUCACCCUAUCUCUAAGGGAGAGCCUUAUUCAAAAUCGCUCAAUACUGAGCGGAAUACUGAGCAGAGACCUACGGUGCCGACCAUCGGGGCCGAGUUGCGACGAAAGAGUGUGUCGAUGUUGGAAUGCACCAGCUGUGCAGAGAGGAAUAUGAAACUGUGGUCACUGAGCCAGAAGGGAAAGAGGAAAAGAAGAACAUGUAUCUUAUUUGGCGGCGUAAGAACAAAAUGAUCCUGCCAUCCAUCCAUCCAUCUUCUUCCGUUUAGUUGAUGUCGGGUCGCGGGGGCAGCAGCCUAAGCAGGUAAGCCCAGACUUUCCUCUCCCAAGCCACUUCAUCCAGCUCCUCCCGCGGGAUCCCGAGGCGUUCCCACGCCAGCCGGGAGACAUAGUCUACCCAACGUGUCCUGGGUCUUCUUUCCUUAUUCUGGACUUCUCCAGUUAAAUGGACUUGCACUAACAGGCAAGGACCAAGGGAGAGAGGUGCAGUUUGCAGCGAUCAUUUAAAUAAGUUGGACUUCCAAAACAAAAAUGUAAUAAAUAUGAACGAAAGAAAGCCAAACGCAUGAGGUGGCAACUUGUCCAGGGUUUACCUUGCCUUCCACCCAAAUGCAGCUGUGACCCUCGUGACCCUAAAAGGGACAAGCGGUGGAAAUGGACGGAUGGAUGGAAAGCCAAACGCCAUCUCAAAAGUCAGGAUCACCCUCGAGGGGAGACAGAUCUGCAAAAAACAGCGAAAGAAAAGCA